rnacentral:misc_RNA from 1 species
GAAAUGCGAUAAGUAAUGUGAAUUGCAGAAUUCAGUGAAUCAUCGAAUCUUUGAACGCACAUUGCGCCCGCCAGUAUUCUGGCGGGCAUGCCUGUUCGAGCGUCAUUUCAACCAUCAAGCCCCCGGCUUGUGUUGGGGACCUGCUGCUGCCCGCAGGCCCUGAAAAACAGUGGCGGGCUCGCUGUCACACCGAGCGUAGUAGCAUACAUUCUCGCUCAGGGCGUGCUGCGGGUUCCGGCCGUUAAACGACCUUCAUAACCCAAGGUUGACCUCGGAUCAGGUAGGAAGACCCGCUGAACUUAAGC